GUUCUGAAAUCAGAAAGGGAAAAAUCCGAAAAAUAGGAUCAAUGUCUUGAAAUAUCCCAUAUGCAUUCGAGUGGAAGCGGAGGCCGGGUGCCAUGCAGUUUAUUUUCCAGCAUUGAGAGAAAGUCAAAGUGGAUUGCGAUGACUUGCAGCAGAGUGGUGAAGGAGCCCUCUGUUUCUCAACAGUCAGACCACAAAGCCCAGCAAUAUCCCUGUGGCAAGUCACAAGGGAACAUGUAUGGAAGGUUCAGAGGAAAACUGAAUACAGGUCACUUUCCCUCAGUGUAUGAGAUUAAGCGUGGGGCCUCCCUCUCCUCUCUAUCUGGCACUUUUUUGGCUCUAGCUACCAUGCACCUUUGAUCUCCCUCUCAAUGGACUGCAGACUGCUGCCAACAGAGGGGCAUGGUAGGCUAUUAUAAUCAAAUCUAAUCUAUCCCCGUCUAACAGCAGAGAUGGAGUGAUAUAUUUAGACUGUGAACAUAAGUAGUGAAUUUGUACUGUGGGGUAUGAGGAAGAACUAAGGAGCUAAUCAAGCGUUAGAUGUUUUGGCAGAGCUUCACCAGUGAGAAGAUUCAGUGAAAUAUUGCUCACUCAUUUGAAAAUGAUUAAGUGGAUUCUUAUGGUUGGUGUGGAGAUGGAAAAAGAAGGGGAAAAUCCUGCUUCCGUUCCGUCCAAAAAAAAAAAAAAUACAAUUAAAAAAUAUUUUGUGGUCAGUUUGAGGUCAGUACCUUGUGUUUUUUUUUUUUUUUUUGAAAGAAAUGAAUACUUUUCUUCAACACGCAUGUAUUAAAUAGAUCAAAAUAAUACAAUGCUUGUACAUUGUUUUAAACAAAUCUAUUUCAAAUAAAUGCUAUUCUUUGACAUUUUCUAUUGAUCUGAAAGAUCUGAAAAGCACAUCUGAAUUGUUACAUUUUACAUUACAUUUUCUACCAAAAAUAUUAAGCAGCACAACCAUUUUCAAUUUUGAUAAUAAUAAGAAAUGUCACUUAAGCACCAAAUCAGCAUAACAGAAUGAUUUCUCAUUUCUCAAGGUUCAAUUCAACAUCACAGGAAUAAAACAGACCCGGAAGAGAAGACGAUGCUGAAUAAAGUCGUAAUUUUUUAUACUUUUGGACCAAAAUGUAUUUUCGAUGCUUCAACAAAUUCUAACUGACCCUCUGAUGUCACAUGGACUACUUUGAUGAUGUUUUUAUUACCUUUCUGGACAUGGACAGUAUACCGUACAAACAUUUUCAAUGGAGGGACAGAAAGCUCUCGGAGUAAAUCUAAAAUAUCUUAAACUGUGUUCCGAAGAUGCACGGAGGUCUUACGGGUUUAGAAUGACAUGAGGGUGAGUCAUUAAUGACAUAAUUUAAAUUUUUCGGUGAACUAACCCUUUAAUUGCUGCUGAUAUGAACGGCUCGUUCCUCUCACGCAUGCGCAGAACGCACAUGUUAGUUUGCCAUCUGCUGUAGUCUGUGCGGUGUGUUCCAGUGCAGCUUUUUGGUCCGACGCGAGGCGACAACACCGUCGGCUUUUGUCGCCACUAGUUCUUUGAAGUCGGCUUGGUGUGUCCCGGCCUUCCAAUACUUCAAAAUCCAAUACACUGCUAAAUAAAGGGGGAAAAUAUCCAAUAAAUAUAUAUACACUGCAAUGUCUUUAUUAUGUAUUUUUGGCACUGCAGAGACGACACAGAGCAGACUUAAUUUGGCAUAGUAAAGAAGACUUUUGAGACAUGAAAGAAUUUGUCGUAUCCCCAGACCCCUGUAUCGUUCUGCAGGAAAUGUGAACAUCUCAAAGGUGCUCUGUCAACAUGCAGCUGGGUUGGUGAAAGACUUAUUUGUUAGGCGGUGACAGUAUCAGUGGGCUCAUAUCAUGUUUGCAUAUUUGUCUCUGUUUGACAGCAGCCCACAAAAGGGGGAGGCCUGGGGUUAAAUCCUGACGUAUUGAGCUUCCCCGAACAAGAGGAGCGUGGAGUGACAUGUUUCAGACCCCCAUUCAUCACUCUCUUUCUGUCACACAUUUUGUUGUACCCUACACUCUCUUUUUCUCUAGCUUUCUUUAUCUCAAUGUUUCUGUCUCUCUGCCUCUCCCUUUUUCUCAGUUCACAAGUUUUGAUCAACACAUUUCUUUUGUCUUAAAUUCAGUUCUCCUUUGCUCCCUUUUUUUUCUAGUUUUCUGUAUCCUGCACAGAUCCUUCAUUGAUUUUCUCUUAUUAUUCUCAGUUUGUCCAACAGCUGGUGUCAUGCUUUGUCCAUAACUGUAUAUGUCCAGGGGACAACCGUUCUCAUCUAUCUUUUUUAACGCUCCUUAUGUUCACACACAAAAUAACACUGCAGCAGGUGAUGAGAGCUCAUCUCUUUCUCAUCCUCCGGCUUUACGGCCAUAUGUGGCCUCCUGAAAAGACUCCACUGAAUAAAUAAGUCUCAUUGCCUUCUCCUCAAAGGCUCCAUUUGCUCUUAUAUUACAGGCCACCUAUAAAAUGCCCUAUAGGGUGUAGGACGUUCUGUCUAUUUAACCAGUUUCCCUUAGUAACAGUGUCAAGCAUUCCAUACAUCUGACUGCAGGGUGAAAUAUGAUAAUUGUAUAGAGAAGUAGCUAUAUAAAGAAGGAUUUUCAGAUAAUAGCAUUUGUGGAGUGUCUGGGCCUCGAUUCAGACCUUUUCAAUGCAGCUUUAUUCUAGGAUUGCAUAUGUUGACAUUCUUACUGAUACAUUCUUAUCUACAGACACUCUUCAAAUUUGUUACGUUCUGACAAAUCCAACAAAAGAUUCUUUAUUUACACUUAAAAGGGUUAGAGUUAGGGCUACCACUCAAAUGUUUGGAAUCAUGAAGAUUUUCUUCUUCUUAAAAUAAGUAUUUUAUACUUAGAAAGGCUGCAUUUAUUUAAUCAAAAAUAGUAAUAUUGUUAAAUAGUAUGACAAAUAAAAUAUGAACUGUUUUAUAUUUGAAUAUAUUAUAAAAUCUGGCAUUAAAGUUUCUAUUCAUCAAAUUCUGAAAAUCCCUGUUUCACAGUUUCCACAAAAAUAUUAAGCAGCAAAAACUUGUUUUCAGCACUUAUAAUAAUAAGAACCAUUAUUAAUAAUUGAACACCAAUAAUUAUUUCUAAUAACUGAGCACCAAAUCAGCAUAUUAGAAUGGUUUCUGUAGGAUCAUGUGACAUAUAUACAAUUGUAAUAUUACUGUUACAGUUUACAAUAUUACUGUUUUUACUGUAUUUUUGAUCAAGUACAUGCAGCCUUGAUGUGCAUAAGAGACUUCUUUCAUUUGAACUCAGACUGAACUUUGCAACUAUUAAAAAUUAGGAAUGCACGAUAUUAUCGGACCAAUAUCGGAAUCAGCCGAUAAUGGCUUUAGAUGUAAUAUCGGCAUCAGUCGAUAGGAACAAUCAUGCCGAUAUGUCUUGCCGAUAAGAAGAAUACAUUAAGUCACGUAUGCUCAGUGUGUGCUAGCGAUUAGAUCAUGUCAACAGUGCCAUUAGAUCACGUCAGCAUUGUGUGGCUCAUUCUUGAAACAAAGUUUUGCCUGAAUGGUGACGUGCAGUGGCAGCCUCCGCUGGGUCCUAAUACACUCUCUCUAAGGAGUUUUAUUUCCGUAUGGGGCGCUGUUGGCCUACUUCUAACAAAAUGAAAGCAAAAUAAUAUUUAGACUGUGUAUUUCAUAAAAUCAUGAGUAUGUUUUGAUUUAAAGGUCAGAAGCUUACUUGAACAAAGAAAAAAAAAUCAACAUAACACUUAAAUUAAAUAAUUUUAUACAUACUGAUUAUAUUAUAUUUUUAAACAAAUUAUGAACUCAAAUUAUGAAAGAUGUUCAGAAUUUUUAAACCUCUUUUGCUUUAGACCAUUUACACAUGUUAAAUCAUAAAAUAAAAUGUUAAGGUUACCACUGCAUCUUUCUGGGAGGGGGGAAAUGCAGUGAUUAAUAUAUAGUUUAUUUAUAGUUAUUUUCAAAAUAACUUUAUUGUUGCUUAUUUACUUCUAUCAAAUUCUUGUUAAAAACUAACCAAAAUUAAAAAUAAUUAUAUAUCAGCAUUGGCAUCAGCUAUUGGCCAAAAUGACUUGAAAAUGCUGGGUGCAUGGUGAUGCUGUCAGCCAACUCCUUACUCCAUAUGCAACCAUUUAUAACACUAAUAGUGCACCACAAAUUAAACUGGAAGAAUCUUAAUGCUUCUGCAGUGGGAGGAGAUGAAUUAAGUCGAGUCUCAUGAUCAAGACUCUACUUUACAUACAGCAGGCUAAGUCUGUUGAACAUUAUCAUUCUUAAGGAUUAGAUGGACAAGUUGAACCAGGGUUAUUAAAGUUUUAAAUAAGGAUUUGUUUUUCAGUCUGUUCUUUUAGUUUAGUUUAAUGUUUGUUACGUUUCACUCUGACUGUUUUAUAGAUUUUAAUGUAUUUAGUUGUAGUAUUUUUAUGCUUACAAAGUUAAUGGGAUAAAUUAUAAAUACCAGCAUUACAUUUCUUAGUCUAGUGUUAUCUAGUGACUCUGUCAUGUUUAAUGAGGUGGAUUAUAAAAUUUGAAACACUUUUGCAAUGUAUUUUGUAUCAAAAAACUAUAACCAAAAACAAGUAUUAACAUUCUAUAUUAUUCUAUAUUAUUAAACUUAAAGUUUAUUUAGUUUUAGAGUCAUGAAAAUGUUUUCACUCUUUUUUUCUUUUUUUCACCAUUAUAUUAGUAUAUUAUUUUAUUUUAGUUAACAACAUUUUUUUCAUUUAGUUUUCAUUGUAGAUUUCAUUUUAGUUUUUGUUAACAAAAAC
ensembl:lncRNA